rnacentral:lncRNA from 1 species
UUGGUCCUAACGACUCUGAAUCCAUUCAGCAUCAGUCAACUUGGGAUUUGAGGGUGCUAUUAUUCUUUUGUUUCUUUUUUUUUUUUUUGAUUUUGAUUUUGCUUUUGAGUUUUCACCCUCCUCUUUUUUUUUUUAUUACAUUUGUAAUGCCAUGUUGGACUGUUUUGCUGAUUCUCGAGAUGCAGCUGAGUGAUCUUCU